rnacentral:rRNA from 1 species
UGAUCCUGGCUCAGGAUGAACGCUGGCGGCGUGCCUAAUACAUGCAAGUCGAACGCGCAGCGAAGAGUGCUUGCACUCUUCAAGCGAGUGGCGAACGGGUGAGUAACACGUGNNNNACCUACCGAAAAGCAGGGGAUAACAUUUGGAAACAGAUGCUAAUACCGUAUAAAACGUGCUGUCGCAUGACAAAACGUUAAAAGGUCCGUUUGGACCACUUUUUGAUGGAUUCGCGGUGCAUUAGUUAGUUGGUGGGGUAAAGGCUCACCAAGACGAUGAUGCAUAGCCGAGUUGAGAGACUGACCGGCCACAUUGGGACUGAGACACGGCCCAAACUCCUACGGGAGGCUGCAGUAGGGAAUCUUCCACAAUGGGCGCAAGCCUGAUGGAGCAACGCCGCGUGUGUGAUGAAGGCUUUCGGGUCGUAAAGCACUGUUGUAUGGGAAGAACGGUAAGGGUAGGAAAUGAUCUUUACAUGACGGUACCAUACCAGAAAGGGACGGCUAAAUACGUGCCAGCAGCCGCGGUAAUACGUAUGUCCCGAGCGUUAUCCGGAUUUAUUGGGCGUAAAGCGAGCGCAGAAGGUUUGAUAAGUCUGAAGUGAAAGCCCACAUCUCAACUGUGGAAGUGCUUUUGAAACUGUCAAACUUGAGUGCACUAGAAGUAAGUGGAACU